ACCAGAGCCAUGGGUAGAAGGAUUAGAGUCAGGAUUGGUCCCAGAUCAGUCUGUAGUAGACCAACAGGGGUGUUGAGAGGUAGCAUAAUUUCUCUGGUAUGCUAUUAGGCUAGUGUCAGGUGAUUGGGCUAUGCAAGCCGGUCAAAAGAGACUGCUGUCUGGCAGUAGGGGAAUGGGCUCUGGCAGCCCACCUCCCAAUAGUUUUUACUAACCUCCUCCCGGUUUCCCCUCCCCUCCAGGCCGAGCUUUCCCUCUGGUCGUGACGAGGCAGAGGAUCCUCCUUUUCUUGACGUAACGUGGCAUUUAACUAACAGCCUCCUCUUCCUCGCUGGUUAGGCUAAUUCACACAGCAGAAGGUAAUGUUACGCGGGACCACCUCUCUAAGACAUCUCAGCCGACACCCCUCACACACACACCCCUCUCUCACUCCCUUGCAACCGCAGCACUUGUGAACACUUACAUGGGGAGACCCACUCGGACAUACCACGUGACGGGGAGGCAGGGUUAGAGAAGGGUGACACAUGAGGGUGAGAGUGGAAGUGGGACAGGGAGGGAGGGAUCAGUGAGACAGGGAGGGAGGGCUCAGUGGGAUGUGGAGGGUUAAGGAGGGAGGGCUCAGUGAGACAGGGAGUGUUAGAGAGGGAGGGAUCAGUGGGACGGGACGGUUAGGGAGGGGGCUCAGUGGGAUGUGGGGGUAAGGAGGGAGGGAUCAGUGAGACAGGGAGUGUUAGAGAGGGAGGGAUCAGUGGGAUGUGGAGGCUUAAGGAGGGAGGGAUCAGUGAGACAGGGAGUGUUAGAGAGGGAGGGAUCAGUGGGAUGUGGAGGGUUAACGAGGGAGGAAUCAGUGAGACAGGGAGUGUUAGAGAGGGAGGGAUCAGUGGACGGGGAUGUUGGGGAGGGAGGAUCAGUGGGAUGGCGAGGGUUAAGGAGGGAGGAAUCAGUGAGAAGGGAGUGUUAGAGAGGGAGGGAUCAGUGGGACAGUGA
rnacentral:lncRNA from 1 species